rnacentral:rRNA from 1 species
UAGGGAAUAUUGCUUAAUGGGCGAAAGCCUGAAGCAGCAACGCCGCGUGGACGAAGAAGGCCUUCGGGUUGUAAAGUUCUUUUAUAUGGGAUGAGGAAGGACAGUACCAUAUGAAUAAGUCUCGGCUAACUACGUGCCAGCAGCCGCGGUAAAACGUAGGAGACGAGCGUUAUCCGGAUUUACUGGGCGUAAAGAGCGUGUAGGAGGCAAUACAAGUUGGAUGUAAAAGCUCUCGGCUAAACUGAGAGAGGACGUUCAAGACUGUAGAGCUAGAGGAAGGCAGAGGUAGAUGGAACUCCGGGAGUAGUGGUGAAAUGCGUAGAUAUCCGGAAGAACACCAGAGGCGAAAGCGAUCUACUGGGCCUUAACAGACACUGAGACGCGAAAGCCAGGGUAGCAA